GAUUUUAGAGGUUAUACAUCAUGAUCAAUAAUACACAGAGAAGAUUAGCAUGGCCCCUGGCAAGGAUGACACGGACAAAUUGAGAAAUGGUCCAAAAAUUU